rnacentral:rRNA from 1 species
UACGUAGGGGGCAAGCGUUGUCCGGAAUCAUUGGGCGUAAAGAGCGUGUAGGCGGCCCGGUAAGUCUGUUGUGAAAGUCCAGGGCUCAACCCUGGAAUGCCGAUGGAUACUGCCGGGCUAGAGUUCGGAAGAGGCGAGUGGAAUUCCUGGUGUAGCGGUGGAAUGCGCAGAUAUCAGGAGGAACACCGGUGGCGAAGGCGGAUCUCUGGGCCAUUACUGACGCUGAGGAGCGAAAGCGUGGGGAGCGAACAGG